rnacentral:rRNA from 1 species
GACGAACCGUGCGAACGUUGUUCGGAAUCACUGGGCUUAAAGGGCGCGUAGGCGGCUUGCCAAGUCCGGGGUGAAAUCCUCCAGCUUAACUGGAGAAGUGCCUUGGAUACUGGUGAGCUCGAGCGAGGCAGGGGUCGUGGGAACUUCCGGUGGAGCGGUGAAAUGCGUUGAUAUCGGAAGGAACGCCGGUGGCGAAAGCGCACGACUGGUCCUCUUCUGACGCUGAGGCGCGAAAGCCAGGGGAGCAAACGGG